UUUUUGGUAUUAUCGUUUUACUUGAGAAAGAAAAUGCUAAAACAAGCAAACAUCAAACGGCUAAGGAAUUAAAAAGACAAGAACAUCUCUCUCUCUAUAUAUAUAUAUAUAUAUAACAAUUAACAGGGGGAAGAAACAAGGUUGUAGGAUAGAACAUAAAUGUAUCACAUCACAGACACACACAUAUGUAUAUAUCACAGGGCACCACACACAUAUAUGAAGAUUACUAUUUCACUAAGCAAGAUAUGACAGAUCAAGUACUUCACAUAACAAACAUAUAUAUCCACAUGUACAUAGCUAACACAUGGACUAAGAAUUAAAGAGGUUCAAACUUCUCACUUGACAGAGCACACAAACAGCACAAAAAUUAACUAGUAAUCUUAGUUCUUACAAAAACACUAAUUGAUAAACAAGGCACAUAUAUUGAAUAAUACUACUAGACAAGUAUAGGUCUCUGAACUAGACAAAAUACUUAAUACAUUACAAUUUCCAUGAAUUACAGAGAGGGAUAAAGAGAACAGCAGGUUCAGUUGGAGACGAGCAGCAGCAGUAGGGGAUUCAGAGGAGGAGGAGCAAUAAGGGGCGCAAGAAGAAGCAGCAGCAGGUCCUGUUGAGGAAGAAGCAGCAGAUUCGUGGGGAAGAAGAAGAAGCAAGAGCAGCAGCAGAGGUAAGGGAAGAGAAGAAGAGCAGCAGUGGCAUGGGGAUCAGCAACAGGUUCAGAGAAGCAGCGGAGCAGCAGCAGUUUCGAGCAGAGGAGGGUUUCAGCAGGGAGGCGCAAGGAGAAGGAGCAUCAGGGAAAAGAUUUAGAGGACAGCAGCAUGGGAAUUAGAGAGAGGUGAGAGCCACACAGAAGUCCAGACACUGUCGGCUAUGUGUCUGGUCGGGCACGCCGGUUGGAGGUGAUGGUGGAUGGGUUCUAGCGGCGCUGUAGAUGGAGGGAAGGGUAGGUGGCUGGGAGGCGCAGAUGGAUGGAGAUGUAUGGGUGGUGCUGGUGGCGCGGUGGUGCUGAUGGCACGCCACCACGCCAGCCUGGUCGCGGCGGCGGCCAGAGGUGGAGAAGGAGGGGUGAGGGAGAGAGAUGUGUGCCAGGCUCGAUGGCGAAUGGAGGCGAUCUAGGGAUUUUGAUCCCCUCCCUGAUCUGAAAACUUUACACAUUAGCCCUCCUCCCUCUCUUCUUUCUUCACAAGAAGGUCCUCCCACUUCUUUAGCUAGCCCCCUGGUAACUUCUUUUCAUCUCACACAAGUCUCUUCUUCCUUCUCUUCUUUUCUUCACUCUUCUCGAUAGCCACCUAGACGGAAUCUUGACAGUUAUAGUGCCUUUGCGCACAUUUCUGCAAAAUAAACCAAAGACUAGUAAACGAUCCCCUUAAAUGAUUUUCAUUCAAAUAUGCAACAGUUCAUAGCAAGAAUUGAUGGUCAGAUCACAAUAUAUGGUAUAUUUGUGUGCCCAAAUUGUAUAUAUAUGAAAUGUGCUUAUCAAGUUCCCCCACACUUAAAUCUUUGCUUGUCCUCAAGCAAAGGCAUAUGACAAAGGCUGGAUAUGAACAGUGAACCGACUAGACAAUGUCAAGUGAAGUAGGUCUCUAAACAGUGCAUGCUUUGGACUUAGCUAGUGAAAAUUAAUGGUUAAGAGUGCUACAGAGCAAUAGGACACUAGUAAACUCAAUCAUUUUAGACUUUUACAAAGAUAAAAGUGGAUCAACAAGUUCAAAUGCUGAUUGCGCCAAAGGGUUCCUAAAGAGAGCAUGAUCCCAAAAAAACUUAUUACCCAAAACAUAACAUUAUGGUUGAAGCACUUAUUGAAUUUGAAGGAAGUAAUGAUAAUAUUUUAUCGAUCUCACCAAAGGAACAUACCACCGAUCCCGAGAACAUGGUAUACACCUGGCUCGACCAAUUAUUAGUUAGUUUUUUGUUUGUCUCCCCAAAGGAACAUACCACUGAUCCAGAGAACAUGGUAUACACCUGGUUCGACAAUUACAAUUUAUUAGUAAUUACUACCCGAGCUAACCGAUUUCACAUGCCACCGAUCUAGGGAACAUGACAUGUUACUGUAGGUAGUCAGACUUAUUCAUUCAUUAAAAGAUAUACUUUUUUACUUUUGAAAUGAACAAAACAAGAAUCAUCACUCAUCCAUGUCUGGUUCACAUACUACCGAUCCAGGGAACAUAGCAUGCUAAUCCAUAGUGGUUAGGUGAUUGCUCUCAAUGGGAACACACUUAGCACAAAUUCAACAUAUGACACUUGAUGAUCUAGGUGUAUCAAAGUAAAUGCAGAAAAUGAUGAAGUUUUCUAGUGUACUAGGGAUUUGAGCACUCAAAACUAAUAACCUUCACUAAUUUCAGCCAAGCAUGCAUGGUGUAGAUCACUAGUUUACAAGGCGUUCAGAAAUCAAGUUCAUAAAUUCACAUCAAGCACGAUGCCAAAGGUGAAUUUCAGCUUGACAACAAGUAAUAGCUCGCUCAAGCAACCCAACUAGCAAUUGAUUCCAACUUGUAUCAAUAGAUGAUAUAUUCAGAUUAGGAUCAUGAAACAGCUCACCAGGCUUUAUGAAGUAGAACUCACUCGAUCAUCUCACAUCCUCUUGCAUCGUGACUCCUCUCCUUUUGCUUCUCUAUCCUCAUGCUCUCUAUCCUCGUGCACGCUCCAGCUUUUCUCUUCCUUGUAUGUGCCCAUUAAUUCUCCUCUUCACCAUGCUCUAAAUCCACCGGGGUCCCAAGGAAUGUCACCUCGAACCUGAUCACCCUGUAGUGAAUGGUGCAGUAGCAAAAACCUGAAAGAGCACUCGACAAAAGAGACCAUACAAGUGAAAGGGGUAAUGCCCUCUAAAUCAUCAAUAGAGUACCCAAUUACAUAAGCAUAGCUAUAAAGAACAUGACGAGUAUGAUAGGAAUCAGCAAGCUCAAUACUAACAUGAGGAUGAUAUUUAUCAUUAAGCAUAGAUUUGGCAUGAGGAAAAUAAGUGUGAUCAUCAUUAAUAUGAGCAAUGCCACCAACAGUAUAUGUAUCAUCAUAUCCAAGCAAACACUUCUUCAAAUCUACUUUAACAGAUAACAUCAUGCAAUGCAAGGUAGUAGCAAAAAAUUCAUAUGGACGCAUGUCAUCGAGAGGAUUAGAUAAACCUGCUAUAUCACACUCUUGUAUGACGAUGGGAAAAUGAAUUUCUGGUUCUUCAUCUUCAACUACAAGAGCUUCUUUUACUUCUUCAGGAGUGAUAGGCAACGGAUCUUCGUCUUGAUCACUUGGGCAUUCAAGCUCUUGGUCAUCUUGUUCCUUGUCUUCUAGUUCAUCUUCUUCAAUCUAAGAUAUCUCUUCCUCAAGGCACUUGCUAUCUUCCUUGGCAGGAUAUGAAGGUGUUGGAACCUCACAUGUAUCAAGGGGAAUCCCAGGAACACUCAUCUCAAGCUGUGAAGAAAUAGUGCUGCCAGCGUUGAUGUUCUUCUCAAUCUUCCUUACUUCUUCAACUAGCUCUUUUCCACUCUUGAUCUUCUUCAUUUCCUCUAGUAUAACCUUCCUAAUAGGAUCAUCCUUGGCACUCCAAGUGAACUCAAGACUAAGCAAUGUGAGGUUGUCUAUAUCAUCAAAUUUAUCUUGUGUGGGCACUUGCACAUGAGAUUGCUCGGCGGUUGCUGGAGUUGAUGGUUGACCAAAUGGAGGACCAUUUAACUCCAUUGGCAACAUCUCCUGGUGUUGAGGUAUAUGAGUAGGAGCUGAAUAAAUCUGGUGUGGAGCAUAGUUGUGGCUCUCCUCAUUGUACCUAAAUCCCUGCAUAUAAUUACUAGAAGCAAACAGUGAGAUCUCAGGGUUGUUGCUCCUAUAUGACAUAUUCUGGUUCUCAGGCCACCCAUAUGAGUAAUUGUUUUGGUAUGAGCUAGGCUGUGGGGCGAAGCUCAUGCCAUAACAAUCGGGAGAGUGAGAGUAACCACGCUGACAUUCAGCAGGUGAAUGGCCCUGAAAUCCACAAAUAUGGCAUGUAGGAGCAACAUAAGGAUGACCUCUAGAAUAAGGAUCAUAAGAGCUAGGCCUAUCCUCAAAAACUACUUCUCGCUGCCGAGCUAAAUCAUCUAAUCGAUGGGAAAUCUUACUUAUCAGUUCUUGAAUAGUUUCCGUGCUGUUUGUAGUGUUCCUCGCAUCUCCGAGACAAUCUGAAUAAUAUGCCAUAACCGAGUUGAUAGCUCUAACCUGCAAAAGGAAAAGAAAACAAAAAGAUACUAGCUAGAAAAGGGGUUGGUGGUUAGAGAUAUAUCACAAAUAUAUGGCACAAACUAGAAAAAGAAGAAAAACCUAGUCUAUAGCCUAACACAAUUGCUCGACGCUAGUCCCCGGCAACGGCGCCAAAAUGAUCAAUUGAAAGUACAGCGAGAUAUUUCACCCGAACUACGAGUGUCAUGUUCCCCACAGGGACUAGGCGACGACUACUAUGCUCGACUAAAGCUAGGUAGCACAAUUUUAAGAGAUGAUUGCAGAAAAUAAACCUAAACUAAACAACGUAGUCCCCGAAGAUCAUCGCCAAAGAAAAUGCAAAAUAAGCAAAGGGAGAUUCAAAUUAUACUCUCUGUCUUUUUGGUAUUAUCGUUUUACUUGAGAAAGAAAAUGCUAAAACAAGCAAACAUCAAACGGCUAAGGAAUUAAAAAGACAUGAACAUAUCUAUAUAUAUAUAUAUAUAUAGAUAUAUAUAUAUAGAUAUAUAUAUAUAUAACAAUUAACAGGGGGAAGAAACAAGGUUGUAGGACAGAACAUAAAUGUAUCACAUCACAGACACACGCAUAUGUAUAUAUCACAGGGCACCACACACAUAUAUGAAGAUUACUAUUUCACUAAGCAAGAUAUGACAGAUCAAGUACUUCACAUAACAAACAUAUAUAUCCACAUGUACAUAGCUAACACAGGGACUAAGAAUUAAAGAGGUUCAAACUUCUCACUUGACAAAGCACACAAACAGCACAAAAAUUAACUAGUAAUCUUAGUUCUUACAAAAACACUAAUUGAUAAACAAGGCACAUAUAUUGAAUAAUACUACUAGACAAGUAUAGGUCUCUGAACUAGACAAAAUACUUAAUACAUUACAAUUUCCAUGAAUUACAGAGAGGGAGAAAGAGAACAGCAGGUUCAGUUGGAGACGAGCAGCAACAGUAGGGGAUUCAGAGGAGGAGCAGCAACAAGGGGCGCAAGAAGAAGCAGCAGCAGGUCAUGUUGAGGAAGAAGCAGCAGAUUCAUGGGGAAGAAGAAGAAGCAUGAGCAGCAGUAGAAGUAAGGGAAGAGAAGAAGAGCAGCAGUGGCGUGGGGAUCAGCAACAGGUUUAGAGAAGCAGCGGAGCAGCAGCAGUUUCGAGCAGAGGAGGGUUUCAGUAGGGAGGCGCAAGGAGAAGGAGCAUCAGGGAAAAGAUUCAGAGGACAGCAGCACAGGAAUUAGAGAGAGGUGAGAGCCACACAGAAGUCCAGACACUGUCGGCUGUGUGUCUGGUCGGGCGCACCGACAGGAGGUGAUGGUGGAUGGGUUCUGGCGGCGCUGUAGAUGGAGGGAAGGGUAGGUGGCUGGGAGGCGCACAUGGAUGGAGAUGUAUGGGUGGUGCUGGUGGCGCGGUGGUGCUGAUGGCACGCCGCCACGUCGGCCUGGCCGCGGCGGCGGCCGAAGGUGGAGAAGGAGGGGUGAGGGAGAGAGAUGUGUGCCAGGCUCGAUGGCGAAUGGAGGCGAUCUAGGGAUUUUGAU
rnacentral:lncRNA from 1 species